UCCUACGGGGCGCAGCAGUGGGGAAUAUUGCACAAUGGGGGAAACCCUGAUGCAGCGACGCCGCGUGGGCGACGAAGCGCUCCGGCGCGUAAAGCCCUGUCAGCAGGGAAGAACAAAGACAGUACCUGACCAAGAAGCCCCGGCUAACUACGUGCCAGCAGCCGCGGUAAUACGUAGGGGGCAAGCGUUAUCCGGAUUCACUGGGCGUAAAGGGUGCGCAGGCGGUCUGUUAAGUCAGCGGUCAAAGCCCGGGGCUCAACCCCGGCCCGCCGUUGAAACUGGCAGUCUCGAGGUGGAGAGAAGUA
rnacentral:rRNA from 1 species